rnacentral:rRNA from 1 species
AGAACGAACGCUGGCGGCAUGCCUAACACAUGCAAGUCGAACGCUUCACCGGUUUCGGCCGGUGGGGAGUGGCGCACGGGUGAGUAGCGCGUGGGAACCUGCCCUGUUGUGGGGGAUAACCGAGGGAAACUUCGGCUAAUACCGCAUAAGCCGGUUGUCUUGAAAGAGAUGGCCGGGAAAGAUUUAUCGCGACAGGAGGGGCCCGCGUCGGAUUAGCUAGUUGGUGGGGUAACGGCCCACCAAGGCUGUGAUCCGUAGCUGGUCUGAGAGGAUGAUCAGCCACACUGGGACUGAGACACGGCCCAGACUCCUACGGGAGGCAGCAGUGGGGAAUAUUGGACAAUGGGCGCAAGCCUGAUCCAGCAAUGCCGCGUGAGUGAUGAAGGCCUUAGGGUUGUAAAGCUCUUUCGCCGCGACGAUGAUGACGGUAGCGGGAGAAGAAGCCCCGGCUAACUUCGUGCCAGCAGCCGC